GCGUCGUCUUGCGACCGGAUGACGCGCCUUACAAGCGAGGGGUCACUGGUUCGAUCCCAGUUGCGCGCACCA
rnacentral:tRNA from 1 species